rnacentral:rRNA from 1 species
AGCGGCGGACGGGUGAGUAACGCGUGGGUAACCUGCCUCAUACAGGGGGAUAACAGUUAGAAAUGACUGCUAAUACCGCAUAAGACCACGGUACCGCAUGGUACAGUGGUAAAAACUCCGGUGGUAUGAGAUGGACCCGCGUCUGAUUAGGUAGUUGGUGGGGCAACGGCCUACCAAGCCGACGAUCAGUAGCCGACCUGAGAGGGUGACCGGCCACAUUGGGACUGAGACACGGCCCAG